rnacentral:rRNA from 1 species
CACUUCUAAGGAAGGCAGCAGGCGCGCAAAUUACCCAAUCCUGACUCAGGGAGGUAGUGACAAGAAAUAACAAUAAACCGGCUUAUGCCGGUUUAAUUGGAAUGAGUACAAUUUAAACAUCUUAACGAGGAACAAUUGGAGGGCAAGUCUGGUGCCAGCAGCCGCGGUAAUUCCAGCUCCAAUAGCGUAUACUAAAGUUGUUGCAGUUAAAAAGCUCGUAGUUGGAUUUCUGUGGGGACGGAGCGGCCGGCCGCAACACGCGGUUCGAGCUAGCGCUUUCCCUACAUCCUGCCGCGAACCGUGCUACCAUUAAUUUGGUGGCGCCGGGGAUCGGCUCGAUUACUUUGAGAAAAAUAGAGUGUUCAAAGCAGGCCACAUGCCUUGAAUAAGUUAGCAUGGAAUAAUAACUAAGGACUUCGGUUCUAUUUUGUUGGUGUUCGGGACUGAAGUAAUGAUUGAUAGGGACAGUUGGGGCGGUCUGUAUUCCAAAGCGAGAGGUGAAAUUCUUAGACCUUCGGAAGACAAACAGCUGCGAAAGCGUUCCGCAAGGAUGUUCCCUUUGAUCAAGAACGAAAGUUGGGGGAUCGAAGACGAUCAGAUACCGUCGUAGUCUCAACUAUAAACUAUACCAGCUAGGGAUCGGCCAACGUUAUUUCAUACCGACUUGGUCGGCACCUUAUGAGAAAUCAAAGCAUCUGGGUUCCGGGGGGAGUAUGGUCGCAAGGCUGAAACUUAAAGGAAUUGACGGAAGGGCACCACCAGCCGUGGAGCCUGUGGCUUAAUUUGACUCAACACGGGAAAACUUACCAGGUCCAGACAUAGUAAGGAUUGACAGAUUGAUAGCUCUUUCUUGAUUCUGUGGGUGGUGGUGCAUGGCCGUUCUUAGUUGGUGGAGUGAUUUGUCUGGUUAAUUCCGUUAACGAACGAGACCCCAGCCUGCUAAAUAGCGCGCGUGAGCUUUGCUCGCGGCGAGCUUCUUAGAGGGACUCUGAUGCGCGAUAGCACAUGGAAGUUUGGGGCAAUAACAGGUCUGUGAUGCCCUUAGAUGUUCUGGGCCGCACACGGGCUACACUGGCGCCUGCAACGAGCAUAUCAGCUGGCCCGAGAGGGUCUUGGCUAAUCUUUUGAACCGGCGCCGUGCUUGGGAUUGACCUUUGCAAUUGUUGGUCAUGCAACGAGGAAUGCCUUGUAAACGCGAGUCAUCAGCUCGCAUUGAAUACGUCCCUGCCCUUUGUACACACCGCCCGUCGCUCCUACCGAUGAAUGUUCCGAUGAAAUUUUCGGAGAGUGCCUGUGAACUUGGCUCUGCCUUGCGAACGGGAAGCUCAAAGUCACUUAAAUCUGAACAUUUC